CCCAGUAGCCCACAACCUAACCAUUGCCCUCAGCCUACGAGUUACGCUCAGACUCUCCCUCUUCGCAGUUCGCACACGCACGGCCGCCGCCGCCGUUUCUUUGCACACCCCAUGCCGUGAGGACGAGGAGGUCGAGGGAGUGGUCGGGAAGGAGGGAGAGUAGUGGGUUGAGCGCUGUCUUCGUACUCCGCGUCCGCAUCCACCGCAUCAGAUCCAUCGCCACGUAAGACUCUCAGCUCGCACGUUCCACACCUCCAGAGGCUCAGGCACGAGGAUUUCACUGGAUUGCUGCUCGAGGAGGUCGAGGAAGGACAGUCUGGGGUGGAGACCGUGCUCAGAGAGCACCUCGACAUCCGCAAGCAUUUUAAGGUCAUCAGCCAUUGCUUCAGCAAGUUCAUCGUAUGUAUAACUACUCGUAUCUCCUUCCUCCCCUUACUAACAAAGGAUUUAAUAUAGCCUGGAUCCGACAAGAGAUAGCGUUGCCAAUCCAAGAUUAUUCAAAAGGAUGGUAUGCGGUGUAUUCCUUGUCAUCCAUAAUCAUGGAUAUUAGAGUUGUGCAGCUAAUGAAUUUUCUAGACAUUAUUACACAUCAGCUAGUCAUGUUAUGGAUAAGGAUAAAUUUUCUCUAGCGUAGAAACUAACUAGAAACCGAGGCGCGGCGUUGCCGCGCCGUGGCCAUGAUCCUGGCAGCCUGAGCUGAACCAUUUGCGCUUCGUUCUAUAUGUAUUAUAGUUGCAUCUUUCCAUAUUCCUUUUGUGUUUAGCAGAAAAAGAUUGCUGUCAUAGCUUACACUUUGUAUUGAGGUGAAGUACAAAAGAAGAGGAAACACGCAUGUUGUCUAUGACAAUUCCUCAAAAUUUGUCUUAUUAGUGUUAUUUGACAUUACGAUGUAUAGUUAUGUAAUCAAAGCACAAGCACUAUGUCGACAUUUAGGCUAUCACAAGUUUAAAAUAGUCUUAUGAUCUAGAGCUUGCUUUGUUUUUUCUGUGUAUGAUAAAGAUAAAGAGCCUAUACAACUUGUUUAACCUGCAAGAGCCUCAUACUGAUUGUAAUAUAAAUGUUGAAGUCAUGAAUAAAGUAUAUAAAUUAUAAAACCACUCAUUCUUAUUGUAACCAAGAAAGAAAAUAGCUGCAAAGGCUUAGGAAGUACUUACACAAUACUUCAUGGGCUUUCAUGGCCGUGACUGCAUACCACGCCGCUGCCAUAGCCGCUGCCUGUUGGGCCAUCCCUUGCGUACGUUGCCGGCGCCACUGCCUGUUUCGCCGCAGCGGAGCUCUACACCGCGCAGCUCGGCUUCCUGCCUUGCCGUUGCUUUAGUGCUGUCGGGUGUGUGCGUUUGUUGGCCGAGAUAAAUUUCAGAAGCCCCAACCCAUCCGGCUUGUUGUAGAUUUGUGUGUUUGUUGUCUGGAGCACCAGUAGUAGUUUGUUUUCCAGAAAUUUUGAGUUUGUACCUAGUUUGAGUGCCAUUAGAUAGCAUUUCAACACUGGUCUGCUAGUAAAUGUUUUGCCAUGUUAUACUGCUUCUAGCUUGUGUAAGGGUAAUGUUUGGAUGAGAUUUGACCUAAAAUUCAGAUUAUUGAUAAAAUAUUUUUUUGGAUUAAUUUACUGAUGUGCUAAAUAUUUGCAUUUCGUGUAUCACAUCCAGCAAAUUCAGUGAUUGGAGGCCACAGCUUGUCCCUAGUCUAAAAAGUAUCAGUGUAAUCCAAGUAGCAUGUGGUGUAUAUCAUUCUUCAGCUUUGAAUGGUAAGUUAUUAGAACUGCAUAGUCUGAUCUUUCACCAACUUUUCUUAGAACCUACAUGAACGAAUAGAAAGCCACUGCAUUUGUAAAGAGGGAUGUUUGUUUCAGUCUUAUAACUGUCCACUAGCUAAUAGCUAUAUUUUUCUGCCUAUGUGCACCUUUUGCUGCUUCUUGACACAUUAAAUUUAUACGUGUUCUAAAGACUAAUUUGUAAAUUCUCUUGUUGCACAUAGCUCUUCUCGGUUCUCCUAAAUGCAAUGCAGCUUUGCAUUUAGCUCAUUGAUCAUGUUCGCCAUUCAAUGCACCUCAUUUGAAUUUUGACUGUAGCUGAUCUUAUGUUAAUAAUUUUGUGAAGGUGAUCUUCUUGAAGCUAAGGUCUGCUAAAACAAACUGUCAUCUUAGACACAUCAACUAUGUCCGCACAUACCUCAGAAAGUUCGGGAACUCAGGGUUUAUCUCUUGCAUCUCAUUCACACGUAAACUGAAGGUCAAAGGUAUGGCAAUACUUCGAGCCAAAUCUAGUGGCAGUAGAUGAUAACUUAAAGGUUGUGUGCAAGUAUUGUGGAGUUCACUUAAGUACUAAAUCUGGUACAAGUAUCCUUAGAACUCAUAUCUCAGAGUAUUGUCCUGCCAUAGAUGAUGCUUCUAGAAAGGAAUUCAUAUCAACCAUGAAGAAACAGCCCUCGGAAAACUUUGUCUUUGAUCCUCAGUUGUCUCGUGAGCGUAUGAUUGAGUAUGUAGUACAUGCUGAAAUCCCAUUUAACAAAUUUGAGUACCCAUACUUUGAAAGAUGGAUAAAAAUCGUUAAUCCAAAUUACGAUUGUGCGAAGCGUCAAACUAUUCGCAAUGAUAGUUUUAAGAAGUAUGAGAAAAUGAAAAUGGAUCUUCUGAUUGAGCUUGUUAGCCUGAACUCUCGUGUGUGCCUCACAUCUAACUUAUGGACGUCAGUUCAAAACUUAGAUUACAUGGUUGUAACAGCACACUACAUAAAUGUUGACUUCAAACUGAAGAAAAAGAUUAUAAGUUUCAAGGAAUUAAAGUACCCACAUACGAUUGAAGAAGCCCUUGUGAGCUGCCUAACAAAAUGGGGAAUAAGAGAGAAGGUCUUUACUCUGACAGUGGACAAUGCAAGUAACAACAAUAGAGCAUGUGAGGUUUUUGUAGAAUAUCAAAAGCGUGAGUUGAUGCUAGAGGGUGCACAUUUUCAUGUCAGAUGUUGUGCACACAUCUUGAAUAUCUUGGUUCAAGAUGGUAUGAGCAUAAUUCAUGAUGUAUAAUAAAGCUUCGUGAGCUCUUGAAACACAGUUUCCUCACCAUCAAGAAUUCAAGCCUUCAAUCAGAUUGCAAUUGGAGUUGGUCUUCCUACAAAAUGUGGGAUUGCUCUAGAUAUUCCAAAUUGAUGGGAUUCGAUAUUUAAGAUGGUUAGAGAAACAUUAAAAUACAAGGUGGUCCUCAAUAGUUAUGCACAUAAGUAUGCUGAAAGUUCUCCAAAUGAGCAAGUAUUGUCACAAGCUAAUGCAAUAUGUGAGUUCCUAAAAGCUUUUGAAGAGGCUACAUAUUUGGUGUCGGCUGAUAGGACUCCUACUGCACAAAUGUUCUUGCCUUUGGUUCUUUCUAUCCGCCAUUGCUUAAAUGAUCCAGCUUGGCAAACAAGUGUAGUGCUAAAUGAUGUAGCUGCUGCCAUGAAGAUUAAAUUUGAGAAGUAUUGGGGUGCUGAUGUUGAUGAGUCUAAUCCAUUUAGUCUUCGCAAAAAAGACUAUGAUUUUAACCUUGCAAUUGCCAUUGCCACAUUAUUAGAUCCAAGAAGGAAAAGUGAAUAUGUAGAGUUCUUUUAUCGCAAGGUCUGUAGGAAUGUGGAUCAAGCGAACACAUGUCUCGCAGCUGCCCUUGAGUGGAUGAGGAAAUAUUUUUCAGUGUAUGAGAGGCGUGUGAUGCAAGAUUGUUCAUACUACAUGACACAUUCACCCGUGGCUAGCAGCAGCCUUGUGGGCUCACCGGUUCUUGGGAAAAGACAAAUCGAAGAAGAGUUUGAAAACUUCAGGUCAAGUCGGAGAAGGGCUAGUGCACCAAAAUCUAAAAUUGACACCUACUUUGAAGAAGAAUAUGUGGCGGACAACAACAGUUUUGAUAUUUUGGUAUGGUGGAAGACACAUGCUAAAAAGUAUCCCGUGCUUUCAACUAUGGCACGAAAUUUUCUUGCAAUUCCUCUUAGCACUGUAUCCUCUGAAUCCGCCUUUAGUCUUGGAGGUAGGAUACUUGGAGAGACAAGGAGUCACUAACCCCUCAAAUGUUGGAAGCUCUUGUUUGCGGAAAAGAUUGGUUGUUCCUAGAAAAAGAUGUGGGUAUGGAUAAUCAAGUACAAUAUUGGUCUUUCUUUGUAUUUAUUUGUAGCAUAUAGGUCUGUUCUAUUUUUAUUAGAAGCCUCUUGAAUAGGUGGAACCAGCUGAGCCGACGGGGCCUUAACCUCGAAGGUGUUGGCACAAAUCUAUAGCCAAGAAUGGUAAAAUGUUCUCUUCUGAAAUUUUAUACAUGCCUCUUUGUUUCCGGCAUGGAGAGUUUUUGUUUCUAGAACACUUGGCUACAACCCUAUUUACUGCAGCUUAUGUACUAUUAUCUAUUUAUUCAUGUCUCUGCAGCUUAUGUCUGACCUAUGUACUGCAGCUUAGUUGGAGUAGCCUAACAAGAAUCACGAGCCUUGUCUGUUUUAUUCAUGUCUCUCUGUUUUUUUCGUUGUUGUAGUUGUGGACAACUAGCUGUGGUUCCAUUGCCACCUUGGAAGUAGAAGUUUUUGAAUGAUAGUCUUAUCCUUAGGUCUGUAGUAUUUGACAUAUGACUUAUCAGUCCUUGACAGAUUUUAGCUCCAUCCGAAUUGUUGGAUUGCAUUUCAUAUCAUGGUGGUCAGUUCAAAAAUUCAGUUGUUCCAAUAAUCUGAUCUCUAGUUUAGAUAAUUCAAUUGUACACUCUUGAUUAGUUGUCACUACUGUACAGAUCUUGGAGCUGAGUACCAUGAUAUCUGACAUCUAUUUUGUUGUUAUUCAUUAUGCAGAAAGUCUACGGUUCAUGAUGCCAACUCUCACAAUGCAUUCAAGCUAGGUGUUUGGUAGAUGAUGCUAGAUUCUACAAAGUUCAUGCUCCCUAGAGAUGCUUCUAGAACAAAAUUUGAGCUAGAUGACAAAACAUGUUUGUGAUAUUAAAUUUAUAGUAAAUUAUUGUCGAACAACAGAGUUUAUGUUGAUUUUGAUGCCACACUUGGAUGUUAAAAAUUAUAUAUUAAAUUUGUUGCUUUUGAU
rnacentral:lncRNA from 1 species